UAACUACUCCUUUCAUUCGAAAAAACUUGUCCCAAGCUUGUUUCUUAAAUGGAUGUAUCUAGCACUAACUUGAUGUUAGAUACAUCCAUUUGAGGGACAAGCUUUUUCGGACGGAGAGAGUAUUAG
rfam:Triticum urartu cultivar G1812 contig782025, whole genome shotgun sequence.